rnacentral:rRNA from 1 species
GACGUAGGGCGCGAGCGUUGUCCGGAUUUAUUGGGCGUAAAGAGCUCGUAGGCGGCUUGUCGCGUCGACUGUGAAAAACUUGGGGGCUCAACUCCAAGCUUGCAGUCGAUACGGGCAGGCUAGAGUUCGGUAGGGGGAGACUGGAAUUCCUGGUGUAGCGGUGAAAUGCGCAGAUAUCAGGAGGAACACCGGUGGCGAAGGCGGGUCUCUGGGCAACAACUGACGCUGAGGAGCGAAAGCGUGGGGGAGCGAACAGG